ensembl:lncRNA
GCACAAAAAGAUCAUUAAACAGCUGGAGCUCAUUCAAAAUGCUGCUGCGAGAGUUCUCUCCAUGACCAAGAGAACAGAGCACAUUACUCCAUUACUUCUAAAAUCUUUACACCGGUUUCCAGUUAGUUACAGAAUAGACUUUAAAGUGCUGCUAUUAGUCUAUAAAUCACUGAAUGGUUCAGGCCCUGAAUACACCUAUUAUAUAUUUAAAGAAUAUAAACCGAUUAGGGCACUCAGAUCUAUGGACUCAAGUCAGCUAGUAGAGCCCAGAUUCCAAACUAAACAGGGUGAAGCAGCAUUUAGUUGAUAUGCUGUAUACAACUGGAACAAACUACCAGAAGAUCAGAUGUGUCCCAAAUGUAGACAUUUUGAAGUCCAGGUGGACAGGAGAUGGAGAUGUGCUGAUGCCACCUUCUGCGCCUAGAGGAAGAACUGAAGCAAGUGUGGCGGUUCAGUAGUCUUAUCAGCCAGCCUCUGGCUCCCAGCACAGUUUUUGCCGAGAACGGAAACCCUAUUCUGAAGAUGAAUCACUCAGCCACUCUGAAGGGCGGACCAAUCAGCGAUCAGUG